CGAAGGUGUGCAGCUUCAGUCCUGAAGCCAGCGAGAUCGCGAACCCGCCAGGAGGGACGAACAACUCCCGCCAGGAGGAACAAACUUCUCCAGACGUGGCGCCGCCUUUAAGAACUGUAACACUCACCGCGAAAGUCUGUAGCUUCGCUCCUGAAGCCAGCGAGACCGCGAACCCACCAGAACAAAGAAACUCCGGACACAUCAUCUUUAAGAACUCACUGGGAGAGUCUGCGGCUUCAUUCCUGAAGUCAGCGAGACCAAGAACCCACCAAUUCUGGACACAAUUGGAUACUAUAAUCGAUAAAGCUUGGCCUUCAGAAAUUCCCAGUCUUGCAAAGGCAAGAGGGAAACACAGCAAGGAGCAAGGUUGUCUGCUGAAUAUUUGC
rnacentral:lncRNA from 10 species